rfam:Stegodyphus mimosarum contig112966, whole genome shotgun sequence.
CUAAUGGCUCUAUUUGGAGCCACUUCUUUUGUUUACUAGAUGGUUU